ACGAACGCUGGCGGCGUGCUUAACACAUGCAAGUCGAACGGUGAAGCUCCAGCUUGCUGGAGUGGAUCAGUGGCGAACGGGUUAGUAACACGUUAGCAACCUGCCCCUGACUCUGGAAUAAUCGCUGGAAACGGCGUCUAAUACUGGAUACGAGAAGGGUCCGCAUGGGCACUUUCUGGAAAGUUUUUCGGUUGGGGAUGGGCUCGCGGCCUAUCAGCUUGUUGGUGAGGUAAUGGCUCACCAAGGCGACGACGGGUAGCCGGCCUGAGAGGGCUACCGGCCACACUGGGACUGAGACACGGCCCAGACUCCUACGGGAGGCAGCAGUGGGGAAUAUUGCACAAUGGGCGAAAGCCUGAUGCAGCGACGCCGCGUGAGGGAUGACGGCCUUCGGGUUGUAAACCACUUUCAGCAGGGAAGAAGCGAAAGUGACGGUACCUGAAGAAGAAGCACCGGCUAACUACGUG
rnacentral:rRNA from 1 species